AUUGAACGCUGGCGGAAUGCUUUACACAUGCAAGUCGAACGGCAGCACGGGGCAACCUGGUGGCGAGUGGCGAACGGGUGAGUAAUAUAUCGGAACGUGCCCAAUCGUGGGGGAUAACGUAGCGAAAGUUACGCUAAUACCGCAUACGAUCUACGGAUGAAAGCGGGGGAUCGCAAGACCUCGCGCGAAUGGAGCGGCCGAUAUCAGAUUAGGUAGUUGGUGGGGUAAAGGCUCACCAAGCCAACGAUCUGUAGCUGGUCUGAGAGGACGACCAGCCACACUGGAACUGAGACACGGUCCAGACUCCUACGGGAGGCAGCAGUGGGGAAUUUUGGACAAUGGGGGCAACCCUGAUCCAGCCAUGCCGCGUGAGUGAAGAAGGCCUUCGGGUUGUAAAGCUCUUUCAGCCGGGAAGAAACGCAUUGGUAAUACCUGAUGUGGAUGACGGUACCGGAAUAAGAAGCACCGGCUAACUACGUGCCACGCACGCCGCGGUAAUCCU
rnacentral:rRNA from 1 species